UACGUAGGGUGCGAGCGUUAAUCGGAAUUACUGGGCGUAAAGCGUGCGAAGGCGGUUCGUUGUGUCGGUGGUGAAAGCCCCGGGCUUAACCUGGGAAUGGCCAUGGAAACUGGCGAACUAGAGUGUGGUAGGGGAGACUGGAAUUCCUGGUGUAGCGGUGAAAUGCGCAGAUAUCAGGAGGAACACCGAUGGCGAAGGCAGGUCUCUGGGCCAUUACUGACACUGAGAAGCGAAAGCAUGGGGAGCGAACAGG
rnacentral:rRNA from 1 species